ACUGAACGCUGGCGGCAGGCCUAACACAUGCAAGUCGAGCGGAUGACGGGAGCUUGCUCCUUGAUUCAGCGGCGGACGGGUGAGUAAUGCCUAGGAAUCUGCCUGGUAGUGGGGGACAACGUUUCGAAAGGAACGCUAAUACCGCAUACGUCCUACGGGAGAAAGCAGGGGACCUUCGGGCCUUGCGCUAUCAGAUGAGCCUAGGUCGGAUUAGCUAGUAGGUGAGGUAAUGGCUCACCUAGGCGACGAUCCGUAACUGGUCUGAGAGGAUGAUCAGUCACACUGGAACUGAGACACGGUCCAGACUCCUACGGUAGGCAGCAGUGGGGAAUAUUGGACAAUGGGCGAAAGCCUGAUCCAGCCAUGCCGCGUGUGUGAAGAAGGUCUUCGGAUUGUAAAGCACUUUAAGUUGGGAGGAAGGGCAGUAAGUUAAUACCUUGCUGUUUUGACGUUACCGACAGAAUAAGCACCGGCUAACUCUGUGCCAGCCGCCGCUGUAACAC
rnacentral:rRNA from 1 species